rnacentral:misc_RNA from 1 species
GCAAUUCUUCUCCUUUCACCAUUCCUGGUUAUAUUCAUGCUUGUGUAUCUCUUUCUAAGGCAUGCUGAACAGUUCUAUAAUCAUCCAAGCACAGCAUCAUCUCGAAGAUGGUCAAAUUUAUCAAAGUGGAUUUUUAGGGAAUUCAAUGAGGUUGACCAUUUGUUCAAGCAUCGGAUCAAUGGUAGUAUAAUGCAUGCUUCAGAUUAUCUUAAGCAAUUCCCCUCACCAAUUAUUUCGAUUAUUGCCAAGUUUAUAUCUUUUGUUUCUGGAGGCUUUGCUGCUAUCCUGAUUAUCAUUGCAUUUCUGGAAGAGUCUCUACUAGAAGGCCAUAUAUUUGGUCGCAAUUUGUUCUGGUAUGCUGCUGUUUUUGGAACCAUAACAGCAAUCAGCCGUGCUGCAGUUACAGAUGAACUCCUUGUCCUUGAACCAGAAGCGGCUAUGUCUAUGGUGGUCCAACAUACACAUUAUAUGCCAAAGAGGUGGCGGGGCAAAGAAAAUACUGAGACUGUCCGGAUAGAGUUUGAAACCCUAUUUCAGUAUACUGGAAUGAUGUUACUUGAGGAGAUGGCAUCGAUUUUCCUCACUCCAUUCUUGCUUCUAUUUGUUGUUCCAAAGCGAGUGGAUGACAUCCUACAGUUCAUUGCAGA